GACAGAGCCGAAGGCGAGUGUAGUAAUCACACGUGCCUUAACAAGCAUUUACAAACAGUGACGUAACACAUUUUACAUGUUUGUGGACGGUAAGUGCAUUUUCCCUGUCUGAAGCAGUGAUGUAAAGUGCACUUUACCCUGCAUAAGCA